AAUCUCUUAUCGAGGAUCCAUUGGAGGGCAAGUCUGGUGCCAGCAGCCGCGGUAAUUCCAGCUCCAAUAGCGUAUAUUAAAGUUGUUGCAGUUAAAACGCUCGUAGUCGGAUUUCGAAGCACGCUCACGGGGUCGGUUCUUGCUGUUCCUGUGGGGGUGUCUUCUUAUUCUGGGACGCGGUGUGCGGGACUUGAUUGUCUCUGCACAUCUGCGGGCCGGACGUUUACUGUGAAGAAAUUAGGGUGUUCAAAGCAGGCGUUUGCUAUGAAUACGUGAGCAUGGAAUAAUAGAAUAGGACUUGGGCUCUAUUUUGUUGGUUUCCGGAGAACAAGUAAUGAUUAAUAGGGACAGUUGGGGGCAUUCGUAUUUCAUUGUCAGAGGUGAAAUUCUUGGAUUGAUGGAAGACGAACAACUGCGAAAGCAUCUGCCAAGGAUGUUUUCAUUGAUCAAGAACGAAAGUUAGGGGAUCGAAGACGAUCAGAUACCGKCGUA
rnacentral:rRNA from 1 species